AAAAAAGCAGGGGCCUGUUUAUCCUUUGUGAGCAUGUCCCUCGUAAACUUCAGGGACAGCACUACCAUUGUUGUUGGGUGAACCUCCUUCUUGUUCAUGACUGAAGGUUCAGUAAAUGAUGGGACAUUU